rnacentral:lncRNA from 1 species
CCAGCUGUCAGUCUGGAGUCUGUGAGCUCCCACUAGCUCAGAUCAGCUGUUUCUGAGGCAUGGUCUUGACCCCUUUGCUUAUCACUCCUCCCUCUUUACAACUGGACUCCAGGUGUUCAGCCUAGUGCUUAGCUGUGAAUCUCUGCUUCUGCUUUCAUCAAUUACUGGAUGAAGGCUUUAUGAUGACAAAUAAGGUAGUCAUCAAUCUGAUUAUAGGAGGAAGGGCAUUUAAGGUAGCCUAUCCACUAUUGCUGAGAUUCUUAGGUGGGGUCAUCCUUGUGGAUUCCCUGGAAUUUUCCUAGUGUUAGGUUUCUCCUUAACCCCAUAAUGGCUUCCUCUAUUGGGCUGGAGGGAUGGCUGAGACAUUAAAGGAUAGGCUCACAACCAAAAAUAUAAGAGGGAAGCAUGCUCCAUGAUGGGAGCAUAGACCAAGACAGUAAGCACAGCUCUCAGUCCUGGUGGUAAACGUACCCCAUCCAUUUUGGAAAGACAGUGACUAAAAUAUAGGUUGCUUUAAUUUUUCUUUUGACAGGGAUUCUCUGUGUAGCUUUGGAGCCUAUCCUGGCACUUGCUCUGGAGACUAGACAGGCCUCGAAUUCACAGAGAUCCACCUGCCUCUCCCUCCCGAGUGCUGGGAUUAAAGGUGUGUACCACCAACACCCGUCUGCCACUUUAAUUUUAGCAAUGUUGUUUAGCAGAUAAAAGACCAUGUGGCCAGAACAACGUAGAUUUACAGUAAAGACAGAUUCAGAUGAAGAAAAACCCCAGAAGGUUUACAAUGUUUUAAAAAAUAUACAUAGUAUUAUAAGAGAAAAAUAAACAGGAUAAAUAAUUGAAAGAAAUAAAGAGGCAGUGUGGUGAUGCUGCACGCCUUUAUUCUCAGCACUCCAGAGCAGAGUCAGCUGAAUUUUUACAGAAAAACCCUGUCUCAGGAAAAAAGAAAAAGAAAGAAGGAAUUAAAAGAAAUAAAAUAUUAAAAAGCCAGGUAAAUGGAAAAUACUCAUAGAGUCUGAAUACUAUAUGUUAUACUGUUGUCUUAAAUUGUUUCAUUGCUAAAGAAAGAACUACAGCUGCUAAAAGAUAUUGAUUAUAAGUGCUGCUAAAUUAAUCCAACUUAUACAUUUUUAAAAUGCUUUGACUUCAAAAUUUAAAUCUGGGCUGGAGACAUGGCUUAGUGGUUAAAAGCAUUGACUGCUCUUCCAGAGGACCCAGGUUCAAUUCCCAGCAUCCACAUGGAAGCUCACAACUGUAAUUCCAGUUCCAGGGGAUUUGACACCUCCACACCAAUGAAUAUAAAAUAAAGUUAAAUUUAAAAAAAAUUAUGUCUCAGGACUGGCUACUUGGGAAAGAAUUUCUGCUUUUGUUUCCACAGAAAAUAUAAAGCUAUGGAUGCCUUCCAGAGUAAUAUGGUUUGAUGAAGUAUGACCCCCCGAAACAGUGACCCAGGUGAUCCAACAUCUAAAACAGAAGAGUUGGUACAGCCUUAGAGACUACAAAAAAAGGACCUGGCCCUGUUUCUGUGUUUUAUCAUGAUCCCCAUGGUAUGGACAUCACCCCAAACCAGCAGGAAGCAGUUUGGAAUCAACAACGCCCAAAUUUCCCAAUGUUGUUUAUAAAUGUUUGUUUUCAUUUAAAUGGGGUUAGUUAUAAAUGGUAAUGAUCACAUUCAAUCUAUUCUUAAAGGAAAAAAGGGGAAUAGGAUAUAGAAAUGAAUGCUUUACCUUUGUAUGUAUUUUCAUUUAUUGAUACACAUUUAAGGUUAAUUUUGCUAUAUGUAAAUAUCUCUUGUUCGGUAUUGUGUUUAUACAGAUCUUUUAAAAUGUAAUGCAUAGUUAAAUACAGAUUGUAUAUAGUCAGGUAUAAUAGUCAAAACUUAUAGUUAGGUUACUUAGGUUGUCUAGAUAUACAAAGACAUAUUUGAGAUGUAUAGGUAUUCUUCAAACCUUUCAAAGACCCACAGAAUAAUGGUAUUUUAAAUGGUUUAGGAUUUUAAUGACAGUGAAACACAACUGUUCUUGGCACAUCAAUUACAUCAGAAAGGAGGAUGAGCAUUGAAGAAUUUUUUUAUGGAGUUUGCCUUCAACAUGGCAAGAUAAACCAUUUGGUCAAGAAACUACUCUUGCCUGGACUGUUUGAUAAACUGGACAUGUAGGACACUCAGGAAAGUGCCUACUGAACUUGCAAAAUAAGAGAGUUGUGAAGGGUUCCUACAUCAUGGAGAAGUAUGCCAGACACAUUGUGGCCUAUAGGCUGAAGAUGGAUGCCCCCACCUUACAGAGGAACUUUGGGUGACUCUCCAAGUAUCGGGAUGUCUCUGUCAGAUCCAGAGUUGAUAGGUUAUCCUUCUGUGGUCUUAAUGGAGUUGAAGACAGAUAGUUAUGUUUAUAGUUUUCUUUAGUUAUUAUAAAAGAUAAGCUACAUAUAAGACUUUGCCCUGGUGUGUGUGGGGGACUUUGAGAGCCAUCCCACUUGAAGGGAUGCGCUCUGUCUCUGGACACAUGGGGAGGGGCCUAGGCCCAGCAUAGAACGAUUUGGUGGACUUUGUGGAGCCCCGGUUGGGGGCCCCACCCUGCCUGGGGAGUGGUGGGUGGAUGCGAUGGGGGGUUGGUUGGAGGUGGGGGAGAACCAAUGGAGGUGAGGGGAGGGAGAAGGAGAGGGGACUUAUAUGUGAAACAAGCCUGUUCCCUAACUUAAAUUAAUAAUAAUAAUAAUAAUAAUAAGAAGAAGAAGAAGAAGAAGAAGAAGAAGAAGAAAAAGAAGAAGAAGAAGAAAGAAAGAAAAAAAGGUCUGUGUGUGUGUGUGUGUGUGUGUGUAUGUGUGUAAUUAAGUUGAAAAACACAGGAAGCAUGUAAAAAGGGUCCAAGAUAUCCGGGACGUUCUACUUAAUUAGAAAAAGACAAGAGGAACUAACUGUAAAGAUAACUCUUACCACCAGCUGCCUUGGUUCUGCCAUAAUUUUAGGUCCCCAAAAUAACACACACAGUCUUAUAUUAAUUACAAUGCCGCUGGCCAAUGACUAAGAUUUCUAACUUGCUUGCUCUGUCUUAAUUAUCAACCAUAACUAUUAAUCUAUUCAUCUUAUAAAGAAUCAUAUAGGACACCAGCGGCAUGCAUACUCUGCUCCCAGAUUUACAUGGCAAAACCUUUCUUUACUAAUUUCCCAGAAUCCUCCUCUCCUAGUCUCUCCUAACUUGUUUGUCUAUUGGCCAACCGAGCUUUAUUUAUUAACCAAUAAGUCAAACAUACAAAGAAGGACUUCCCCCAUAAUGCCCUCAUUCCGGACUCACAGGUCUCCUAGCCACGCCCAUCCGACCUUACCACUUCAUGGCCUUACUGCCUCCAAAAGACCCUCAAGGCUGCCAGACUCCUUACAGGUGCCCCCUGUAACCUGUGAGUCACUCUAAGUCUUUCUGUCUCCUCUAGUAAGAGGCAGCUGUCCAGUGGAGUAGUCCAUUCUAGGGGUGCUUGCCAUGUAUUUUACCUCUUCACACAGUGCGAAGAAGAAAGGGAUGGAACUCCUUCUCCUUGCACUUUUUUUUGAUGUUAAUAUAAGGUGAGCAAGGCUUCUGAAAUGAGCAACAUUAAGUCAAGAGUUUUGCCUGGGUAGGCUUGCAAGUCAUAGCACCCCUGCCACAUCAACUGGUAGGCAGCUUCUCCCUUGUCUUUCAACAAGCCUAGGUGUUCCCUCCCACAGAUGCAUAUGCAUAUGCAAACAGUCAGGCCAGGAAUUACAGUUCCUUUCUCCUCCUCCUUAUAUUCCUCUCUCCACCUAGCCAUGUCCUCUUGUCUCCACCUCCCAAGUGCUGGGAUUAAAGGCUUGAACUCUGUUAGUCAUUUAGACUAAUUCAAUUUUGUAUAGUGUUGGUUGGCCUGAUAUCAGAGAGAUCCAUCAACCUUUGUUUACUGAGUCCUGUGAUUAAAGGUGUGUUCCAACACUGCCUGACCAAGAAUGUGGCUGCUUUGCUAUUUUGAUCACCAGUGCCUUUAAUAAAUGAUAAAACAUAUAACACCACAGGUCUUGACAAACAAUAAUACUAUGGAUUUAUUAAUAUAAUUAAUUUGAGAAUUGUUUUUUAUUAUUUUUCAUUGGCAAUUGUUUUCAACCCACUGAGUUUAGACAGGCCCAUCUAGGCAACCACAGAUUUAGAACUGUCCUUUGGAACCUGAUGGGAUUAAUAAUGAGAUCACACAAGACUUAAGACAAACCUAGUAAUAGCCAGUAGUUUCACAGUAAGAAGUAGUGUCUCAUGGUCCCUCCCACAAACCACAAACUAAUUGUUGACAAGGCCUGUUGUGAUAUACUGUUUAUGAUUUCUUAAGACCACUGGAGAUCAAAAUAACAAAACAGCCAUACUCUUUGGCCAUAGAAAUGAGGCAGUGUUGGCACACACCUUUAAUCACAGGACUCAGUAAACUAAGGCAGAUGGAUCUCUCUGAUUUAAGCCCACCCAGGGCUAUACAAAAUUGAAUUAGUCUAAAGUAGGAAGAGAGUUCUUGCCUUUAAUCCCAGGGUUGGGACCACACACCCUUAAUCCCAGCACUAGGGAGGGGGAGAUAGGAGGAUAAGGAGAGGAAUAUAAGGAGGAGGGGACAGGAACUGAGAGCCUUUGCCUCUGAGGAUUCCUGGAGACAGGAUUGCCAUUUCAGCAGGAUAGAGGACUUUUCCUUCAAUAGGAGCCCACUUACAGAAAUUGCCAGAAAAACUUCAGAAGCCAUGCAGAAGCUGCGUGAACGCCUGUGCACGGAGACAGAGCCCAGGCAGCUCUACAAAACCCUGAAGAAACUCUCUUCACAGCCCGUGCUGGGAGACAUCCUGGAGGAGAUUGGCUUCAGGGAGAACGUCAAACUCUUGAAGAACCAGCCGCUCCUGGUCCCAUUUGCCAAGGAGUUAGCCGCCAAGUGGUCAGAGG